rnacentral:rRNA from 1 species
UGGGGGAUAACGUUCGGAAACGGACGCUAAUACCGCAUACGUCCUACGGGAGAAAGCAGGGGACCUUCGGGCCUUGCGCUAUCAGAUGAGCCUAGGUCGGAUUAGCUAGUUGGKGGGGUAAUGGCUCACCAAGGCGACGAUCCGUAACUGGUCUGAGAGGAUGAUCAGUCACACUGGAACUGAGACACGGUCCAGACUCCUACGGGAGGCAGCAGUGGGGAAUAUUGGACAAUGGGCGAAAGCCUGAUCCAGCCAUGCCGCGUGUGUGAAGAAGGUCUUCGGAUUGUAAAGCACUUUAAGUUGGGAGGAAGGGUUGUAGAUUAAUACUYUGCAAUUUUGACGUUACCGACAGAAUAAGCACCGGCUAACUCUGUGCCAGCAGCCGCGGUAAUAC